AGCCUUCAGUUCAUGCACGAUGGUUGGGUGUUCACGCCAUAUGCAUGAGAUGUGCCUCCCUCAAACCUUAUUACAACGUCGGCACAUUACCCACCUGACG
ensembl:snoRNA